rnacentral:rRNA from 1 species
UCUGCUAAGUCGCAAGACGAUGUAUAGGAGCUGACGCCUGCCCGGUGCUGGAAGGUUAAGGGGAUCUGUUAGAGCAAUCGAAGCAGUGAACUUAAGCCCCAGUAAACGGCGGCCGUAACUAUAACGGUCCUAAGGUAGCGAAAUUCCUUGUCGGGUAAGUUCCGACCCGCACGAAAGGCGUAACGAUUUGGGCACUGUCUCAACAACAGACUCGGUGAAAUUGUAAUUCCGGUGAAGAUGCCGGAUACCUGCGACAGGACGGAAAGACCCCAUGGAGCUUUACUGUAGCUUGACAUUGGGUCUUGGUACUACAUGUACAGGAUAGGUGGGAGGCUUUGAAACCAGGACGCCAGUUUUGGCGGAGCCAUCCUUGGGAUACCACCCUUGUAGUACUGGGACUCUAACCAUAG